rnacentral:rRNA from 1 species
UACAGAGGGUGCAAACGUUGCUCGGAAUUAUUGGGCGUAAAGCGCGCGUAGGCGGUUCGGUAAGUCGACUGUGAAAGCCCUUGGCUCAACCAAGGAAGUGCAGUUGAUACUGCCGAACUCGAGUGCCGAAGAGGAUGGCGGAAUGCCCAGUGUAGAGGUGAAAUUCGUAGAUAUUGGGUAGAACACCGGUGGCGAAGGCGGCCAUCUGGGAGGUCACUGACGCUGAGGCGCGAAAGCGUGGGUAGCAAACAGG